UACGGAGGGUGCAAGCGUUAAUCGGAAUUACUGGGCGUAAAGCGUGCGUAGGUGGUUCGUUAAGUCCGUUGUGAAAGCCCCGAGCUCAACUUGGGAAUUGCAGUGGAUACUGGCGAGCUGGAGUGCGGUAGAGGAAGGUGGAAUUCCCGGUGUAGCGGUGAAAUGCGUAGAGAUCGGGAGGAACACCAGUGGCGAAGGCGGCCUUCUGGACCAGCACUGACACUCAAGCACGAAAGCGUGGGGAGAAAACAGG
rnacentral:rRNA from 1 species